rnacentral:tRNA from 1 species
GGAGAUCGCCAACCGGCGGAUAGACGACGCGCUCGCGGCAUGAUCACACCUACGCUCAAGGGCCCCUUCACCACGGGGCCCUUCGUUGGCAGCGAAGGGGUCGGGGUUCGAAUCCCCUUGUCUCCACCA